UUAAUAAUAGUAGGUACAUUUUGAGAGGACGAGGACAACAUGGGGACACAUGAGGCACUGCCGAACAGCUGAGGUGAAGCUCUGCAGGGUCCAUCUUCUGCUUUCAUGAUUGUCCCCAAGCCAGAGUGAUGGAGGAUGGAGAGAGAAUGUGGAUUGGUACUAAGGUGUCAUGUGACUGCCUCAGACUGAAUUGUAAAACAUUUUUGGACAGUUUCAUACACGGAGAUGAUGAAGGUUGGAGGAGAGGAUCAGGAAAGAGCUGUUUGUACGAACGAUCUCCUAGUGGACCUCCGGAAGAAGAAAAGGAAGAGUGAGAUAAAGAGUGAAGGUCGGACAGCAGCAGCAGAACAGAGAAAAGAACACGCAAAGGCAGGAGAGCGCUGGACGAAGCCAGAUAUCUAAAAGGCAACGGGACCAGGAACCAGUACAGAUGAGGCUGAAUAACGAGGUAGCAGCCAGUUUGUGGAGUGACUCAGGGGCCAGGGCAAGGGAUUUGGUCUUUCUUUCAAGAGCACUGAGAAAACAUCAAACAUAAUCUAAAAUAAGCCAACCUCUGGUUUAAAGAGAUAACUGGAUCAGCUGUGUGGAAAACAAUCAGAGUCCUUACGACUCAGGGAGCCUGGGGUGGGAAUUCCUUAUAGAAUGCAUAUGGAUUCAUAUAUGUUUUUAUAUUUUAUAUCCAAGUCUCUACUCCACCUGGGAUCUUGCUCACAGCAACAGCUAAGGCUUAUCCUUGAGUAGAUAUGGAUAGCUAUUUGCUCCAACGCCGUUGAUUGAAAAUGUCCUUUGCCUGUUGCUUUUCU
rnacentral:lncRNA from 1 species